rnacentral:rRNA from 1 species
GUAGGGUGCAAGCGUUAAUCGGAAUUACUGGGCGUAAAGCGUGCGCAGGCGGUUUCGUAAGUCUGUCGUGAAAUCCCCGGGCUUAACCUGGGAAUGGCGAUGGAGACUGCGAGGCUAGAGUUUGGCAGAGGGGGGUAGAAUUCCACGUGUAGCAGUGAAAUGCGUAGAGAUGUGGAGGAACACCGAUGGCGAAGGCAGCCCCCUGGGUCAAAACUGACGCUCAUGCACGAAAGCGUGGGGAGCAAACAGGAUUAGAUACCCUGGUAGUCCACGCCCUAAACGAUGUCUACUAGUUGUUGGGUCUUAAUUGACUUAGUAACGCAGCUAACGCGUGAAGUAGACCGCCUGGGGAGUACGGUCGCAAGAUUAAA